GCCAGGUGUGGUGGCGCACACCUGUAAUCCCAGCUACCUGGGAGGCUAAGGCAGGAGAAUCGCUUGAACCCAGGGGGCGGAGGUUGCAGCGAGCCGAGAUCACGCCACUGCACUCCAGCCUGGGUGACAGAACGAGACUCUGUCUUAA
rnacentral:SRP_RNA from 1 species